rnacentral:rRNA from 1 species
UACAGAGGUCCCCAAGCGUUGUUCGGAUUUACUGGGCGUAAAGCGUGCGCAGGCGGUUAUGCAAGACAGAGGUGAAAUCCCCGGGCUCAACCUGGGAACUGCCUUUGUGACUGCAUAGCUAGAGUACGGUAGAGGGGAGUGGAAUUCCGCGUGUAGCAGUGAAAUGCGUAGAUAUGCGGAGGAACACCGAUGGCGAAGGCAAUCCCCUGGACCUGUACUGACGCUCAUGCACGAAAGCGUGGGGAGCAAACAGGAUUAGAAACCCG